rnacentral:lncRNA from 1 species
AUAAAUCUGCAUGAGCUUGAAGAUGAUGAAGGAAAUGCUUCUCUGUAAAGUGAUCAUCAUGCUGCCAGUCCCAUCAUUUACACAUUUUUACAGAUUUAUCACCCAACCGUGAGACAUUUGACAUUCAAGUUGUAGAUGGAAAGAAAAGAAUGAAUCAAUAAAUCGAACUCAGAAUUAGAGAAAGGAAGAAAAUCAAGCCCUCUUGAAGUUUAC